CCUACGGGAGGCAGCAGUGGGGAAUAUUGCACAAUGGGCGGAAGCCUGAUGCAGCGACGCCGCGUGAGGGAUAAAGGCCUUCGGGUUGUAAACCUCUUUCAGCAGGGACGAAGCGUGAGUGACGGUACCUGCAGAAGAAGCACCGGCUAACUACGUGCCAGCAGCCGCGGUAAUACGUAGGGUGCGAGCGUUGUCCGGAAUUACUGGGCGUAAAGAGUUCGUAGGCGGUUUGUCGCGUCGUUUGUGAAAACCCGGGGCUCAACUUCGGGCUUGCAGGCGAUACGGGCAGACUUGAGUGUUUCAGGGGAGACUGGAAUUCCUGGUGUAGCGGUGAAAUGCGCAGAUAUCAGGAGGAACACCGGUGGCGAAGGCGGGUCUCUGGGAAACAACUGACGCUGAGGAACGAAAGCGUGGGUAGCAAACAGGAUUAGAUACCCUGGUAGUCCACGCCGUAAACGGUGGGCGCUAGGUGUGGGUUCCUUCCACGGGAUCUGUGCCGUAGCUAACGCAUUAAGCGCCCGCCUGGGGAGUACGGCCGCAAGGCUAAAACUUAAAGGAAUUGACGGCUGAGAACGUGCGACGACGACGACGAGGGAGUUAGG
rnacentral:rRNA from 1 species